rnacentral:lncRNA from 1 species
GAAAUGUCACUCAUAGAUAAAAUGCUAGGAUCAUAUAUGAUCAUUUGGAUACUUAUAAAACAUACACAUAAAAGAGAACUGAUUAAGGUGGGUUACCCAAUAACACGUGUAACAACUUCAUAACAUAGAGUUAUCCUAAUCAAAGUGUUUUGCAGCGGAAAACGUGUGAGAUAUACAUAUGAAGAUGUAUACUCAAGGUUACAUUUCUUGAAAUGUCAAAGGAACACCCGCUCAACAUCAUUCCAUUCCAUCAACUGCUCAACCUGCACAUUUAGAAAUACAUGCAGGGCUGAGUAUAAAAAUACUCAGUGGGCAUAGCCGAAAAUACAACAUGCAUACAUAUAUAAAUUGAACUAGCCAUAACAGUAACACUACAGGGGUUUUCUUAAAUGACCUGCGCUUACUAAAUAUUCUUUCAUUUUCAUAAAGUCGAUCGGCCGAUCAUUUCCUUCAUAUGAUCCAUAUCUGUCCUUCUGUCACGCGCCGGAAGAGGCCUCCUUACCACGGACGCCAAGACCGGUCGCAAGCGACUCGCGGUCUCCAUAAGUGUACACGUUAACCCUAGCUAGCGACCUUUGUCUAGCAUAGGAUCCCAAUUGGAUUUCCUUUAAAGUUGGCGAACCAACACAGAUAGGAUACAUAUAAAAACAUAAACAUUUUUGGCAGUCAACCAUUUCAUAAACAUUUCAUUUUCAUAACAUUUUCAUUUUCAUAAAGGGCAUUGAACAUAUAAGCAUUUUAUAAGAACUGAAUAAAUAGUCAAAACAUAUCAUGCAUAUAUAUUCGCAUAUGAGGCCUACGUCACGCAGGGGAUCUCUAUAUACGUAAUAAUAAAAUAAUGCCCACCUGUAUAGGCAAAGCCUGUCGUUUAACCUUAUCUCUGAAUCGGAAUAGCAGUGCUAAUCCUUCUGAUGCUCGAAGCCUACAAGAAAUCUAUUCUUAAUAGGUCUCCUUGAAUUCUAAUCUUAAGUCACGGUGAAGUGCUUAAUAUUCUAUGAUUCACUUAGCCGGGUUUUCAAAAUUUAAAUAAAUAAUUGAAAACAUUUCUCUUGAGUUAAGAACACCAACAAUAUUCUUACUCAUCUUUAAUUAAUAAUUGGAAUUAUAAAUAAAACCAAUUAAAUCAUAAAUAUUUUUAUUGCAAAAUAUAAUGCAAAUCAUAUCAUGCUUAGCAUAUAUUAAGUAAUUUACUUAAAAUAUGUACAUAAUAAUAAUAUAAUAUUAUUAUGAAAACUAGUCUUUGAAAAUAAUUAAUCAAACUAAUUAAUAGUUCAAUUAAUUAUAAUAGGGUAGCCCAAUUAAAUAAAUUAAUAAAGGCCCAAUAGAUUUAAUAAUUAAAAGCCCAGCUGAAAUAAAAAUAAAUAAAAUCUCGGCCCAUGACUCGAGCCCACUACUAAUUAAAAUCGGCCCACUCUCUAACAAAAUUUUCAGCCCAACACUAAUUAAAAACCCGGCCCAAAUUUAAAACCCAACUCCUAACCCAAACCUAAAGCCCAACAUCCCACCCCCUUUUCUUCCCUACUCCCUCUCUCGGUCACACUCACAACACAAACGCAGACACAUCUAGCGGCUGCGCCGCCCAGCCUCCUUCUUCCUCGUUCUCUUUUUCGGCGUCGACGGAUAAGCCGCCACCGCCGCCUGGACUCCCUCUGAUCUCUCUCUAACUCACAACCAUGGUCAAGACUCACACACCCACAAAUCAGUCCGACUGCUCGCCUCUCUCGACUGAUCCGCCGCCGCCUGCUCCAACCCCGGCGAAUUCACGGCUGGAAGGCUGCCGUCUCUCUCUCUCCCUCGAAUCUCCUCCGUCUCUCGCCCUGCCGCUGCCAAGCCGCGGCCGCGUCUCCGGCGAAGGGCGUCAUCUCUGGUCACUUCUCCCUUGAAUCCCCCUUGGCGACGACGAGCGCCGCCGCCUCCCUCGGUCUCUCUCUCGGCGACAGCAGCAGCCGGAGCCACCGUCGCCGACACCCUCAGCAAUACCCAGCCCAGACCACCUCUCCCUCUCCAGCUGUGGCCGGGCAGCAGCGGCACCACCAUCGCCGCCCUCAAAUUCCCAGCGAGUAGCAGCCACCAAGCUGCCACCACCGCCGCCCAUUUCCCUUCUGUUCUCCCUCGUCUCCGGCAGUGGCUAACCACCACCACCGACCGCAUCUCCUUCCCCACUCUUCACCGUGGCUAGGCAGCAACGGCAGAGCCGCAGCGCCUAGCCUCCCUCUCGACUCCAUUUUUCAAAAAUACAUCAAAAUUGGCAUGCUUCAUAUAUGUAUCUAUAUGCACAUAAAUUGUAUGUCUGAACACUUGGUGAUUUUAAGAAAUUGUUGUUCUUUAUGAAUGUGUAUACAUAUGCACCGAAAUGAUGAGAUGAAAGUAUGUGAAGGUUUGAUGUGUUACAAUUGCAGUGUCAUAACUGAAUGAGCAAGUAUAAAAUAGAUAGAGAGAUUCAAAGAUGAAACCUCUGGUUUGAGUUGCUGAAAUCUGAGUUUUGUGGCAAUUUGAUCCAUUCGCAAUAUGGCUGAGCUCUGCACUUGGAUUUCUUUGGGUUUGUUGGAACUAGAGAGUAACUUGAGG